rnacentral:rRNA from 1 species
CGCUGGCGGUUGCUUACACAUGCAAGUCGAACGGCAGCACGAGAGAGCUUGCUCUCUUGGUGGCGAGUGGCGGACGGGUGAGUAACGCGUAAGAAUCUGCCUGGUAGUGGGGAUAACUCGGGGAAACUCGAGCUAAUACCGCAUACUCCCUACGGGGGAAAGUGGGGGACCUUCGGGCCUCACGCUAUUAGAUGAGCUUGCGUUGGAUUAGCUAGUUGGUAGGGUAAUGGCCUACCAAGGCGACGAUCCAUAGCUGGUCUGAGAGGACGAUCAGCCACACUGGGACUGAGACACGGCCCAGACUCCUACGGGAGGCAGCAGUGGGGAAUAUUGGACAAUGGGCGCAAGCCUGAUCCAGCAAUACCGCGUGUGUGAAGAAGGCCUGCGGGUUGUAAAGCACUUUCAAUUGUGAAGAAAAGCCUGGGGUUAAUACCCCCGAGUCUUGACGUUAACUUUAGAAGAAGCACCGGCUAACUCUGUGCCAGCAGCCGCGGUAAUACAGAGGGUGCGAGCGUUAAUCGGAAUUGCUGGGCGUAAAGCGUGCGUAGGUGGUUUAGUAAGUCAGAUGUGAAAGCCCUGGGCUUAACCUGGGAACUGCAUUUGAAACUGCUGAACUAGAGUGUGGUAGAGGGAAGUGGAAUUCCGGGUGUAGCGGUGAAAUGCGUAGAUAUCCGGAGGAACACCAGUGGCGAAGGCGACUUCCUGGACCAACACUGACGCUGAGGUACGAAAGCGUGGGUAGCAAACAGGAUUAGAUACCCUGGUAGUCCACGCCGUAAACGAUGUCAACUAGUUGUUGGGAGCAUCCUGGCUCUUAGUAACGUAGCUAACGCGAUAAGUUGACCGCCUGGGGAGUACGGCCGCAAGGUUAAAACUCAAAGGAAUUGACGGGGGCCCGCACAAGCGGUGGAGCAUGUGGUUUAAUUCGAUGCAACGCGAAGAACCUUACCAGCCCUUGACAUCCUGCGAACUUUCUAGAGAUAGAUUGGUGCCUUCGGGAACGCAGUGACAGGUGCUGCAUGGCUGUCGUUAGCUCGUGUCGUGAGAUGUUGGGUUAAGUCCCGUAACGAGCGCAACCCUUGUCCUUAGUUGCCAGCAUUUCGGAUGGGAACUCUAGGGAGACUGCCGGUGUUAAACCGGAGGAAGGUGGGGAUGACGUCAAGUCCUCAUGGCCCUUAUGUCCAGGGCUACACACGUGCUACAAUGGCCGGUACAAAGGGCAGCAAUACCGCGAGGUGGAGCAAAUCCCAAAAAGCCGGUCUCAGUUCGGAUUGGAGUCUGCAACUCGACUCCAUGAAGUUGGAAUCGCUAGUAAUCGCGUAUCAGCAUGACGCG